GCAACAUGGGAGGCUCCAAGAUUUCACAAUUUCUGAAGGGAGCCGCAGACAGAGAAGUAAGGAACACAAGUGAACAGGUGAAGCUUCUAAACAUUUUUAAGAGGGCUUUGACAUCCACAAGUAAGAAGUAUGAGCAAUAUUAAAUAAGUAAACCUAGAAGCAAAUUGUUAUGUUAAAAAAAUAUUUUCUGUAUAUUCUUCUUUCUCUUUUCUACAUUUCACCUGCUCUAGCUUGGUUCCUUGUAAUAAACCUGGCUGGCAUUGUAUACUAAAUAUUGUUGGCUCUGUGACAAAUUGCUUGUUAUGUUCCUACAUUCUUCCAUGUUGAUGGCCUGCACACCAGACUUAGAGCGGACCUCCUGUCGGACAACAUCUCCCAGGCACAAUGAACCAUAUGGCUAAUGCUCACAAAGGUUACUAGAGAUUACACCAGUUCCAGUUUGGAUCCAGCCUGGCGUGUGAAGACUUCAGAAGACGCCAGCACUCAAAGACUUCAGAUGAUGGCAACUAGAUGAACAUACAAAGCUGCCAAAUAAUCCUUAUAUUGUAAUCAUGGCCCUAAAAGGGAGGAACUUGUCAACAAAUCUACCGCACAGCGCAUCAAUGAAAGCAGUUUGACAAUUACAGACGGUGUGUUGGAUCAGGGUUAGAUCUGAAUUCUGCAGGUUUUCUGGAUUCCCAGUUGAAGACAUCAGUACAUCAGAUGUUGACCUGGACAGCUGUAUCUACAGUACACCACACUGACCUCUCUGCUUUUGCAUAGAUGACUUACUACUACCAUGUUCUAUAGUAUUAUUGGUAUUAUGUUCUAAGGUAUUAUUAUAGUAAAACUGAGCACCAGUGGAAUUUGUAGUUGUAAAGAAUAGACACAUGCGA